CCUACGGGGGGCUGCAGUCGAGAAUCUUCCGCAAUGGACGAAAGUCUGACGGAGCGACGCCGCGUGAUGGAUGAAGUUCUUCGGAACGUAAACAUCUUUUAUCGGGGAAGAACUUAAGUGACGGUACCCGAGGAAUAAGGGGCUGCAAAACUCGUGCCAGCAGCAGCGGUAAAACGAGUGCCCCAAGCGUUAUCCGGAAUUACUGGGCAUAAAGGGUGCGUAGGUGGUCUGAUUAGUCGUCUGUUAAAACUCCCGGCCUAACCGGGAAGGUGCAGACGAGACGGUCAGACUAGAGAGAGUGAGAGGUUAGCAGAACUCAUGGUGUAGGGGUGAAAUCCGUUGAUAUCAUGGGGAAUACCGAAGGCGAAGGCAGCUAACUGGCGCUUAUUCUGACACUCUAGCACGAAAGCGUGGGUAGCGAACGGGCUUAGAUACCCUGGUAGUC
rnacentral:rRNA from 1 species